CCUGCGUUAUUAAUAAAAUAAAAUAAAAAACAUUCCCAAUCUGAGCUCUGUCACUAGCCUCGCGAUAACUGCCACCUGUAGCAGCCUGUCGCGAGGGGUGUGUGAGGUCAGAUGACAAGAGUUAUAACGCGGGAAAAACAACAACAACAAAAACCAAAACCCAUGUGUAAGUACCGUGAUAAAUGGGACAGCGAAUUUACUUUUCUGAAGAGGAGCAGGUCUGCAACAAAUUUGUACAACAACUCACUAAAAGAGUAAAAGAAAAGUUAUGUGAAAUGAAAAGAAAAACUGUAAAAGAAAAGCAAUAUGAAAUGAAAAGAAUGUGUGGAAUGGAAAUAAAAUGUAAAUGUAAAGACAAGCAAUGUUAAAUUAACAGAAAAUAUGCAAAUAAGCCUUUAAAUAAAUGCUCUUCAUAUAUA